rnacentral:rRNA from 1 species
UACGUAGGUGGCAAGCGUUUGUCCGGAAUUAUUGGGCGUAAAGCGCGCGCAGGCGGCCUCUUAAGUCUGAUGUGAAAGCCCCCGGCUCAACCGGGGAGGGCCAUUGGAAACUGGGAGGCUUGAGUAUAGGAGAGAAGAGUGGAAUUCCACGUGUAGCGGUGAAAUGACGUAGAGAUGUGGAGGAACACCAGUGGCGAAGGCGACUCUUUGGCCUAUAACUGACGCUGAGGCGCGAAAGCGUGGGGAGCAAACAGG